ACUACUUCAAAUAAAAAAUGCAUACAUUGCUUCUUACAAAAGAUCUAAUUUACAGUGCAGCUCAUUGAUGCAGUUGAACACAAAAUAUCAGUGCACGUUACAAAGAACACAACAAUUACAAAGGAAGCAAAUAAAUACAAACAUACAUCACCAAACAUCCUCAGCAUCAGACAUCAAAUUUUAAAUUAAAAGCCUCAGCAAUAACUACAAACAUUUGAGUGAUUUCAUAUUUAACUUAAAUAUAGAACACAUAAAUAUGUAGUAAAUUAAAUAUUAACAUGUGCAUCAAUUGAAGUUUUAAGGACUAACUUCUUCAUCCCUGAAUGUAUCCACCUUCUUAUUAAGCUGGAGUUUAACCAAUUCAGUUUAACUCUGCAGGUGGCAGUUUAUUUUUUUUUCUUAUGUUUUAGUCCAAUGCCCUUGUCCAUCCAUUGCACCAUCAUUUAAACACGGUGAUAAUAUCUAGGAUAAUUUGCAAAUAUGCCCAAAGGGAUAACCAAAGCCAAAACCUCAUUGGUGUUAAUAACAUAAAUUACCAGAUGGCACUUUCAUAGCAUAACUCUAGAUGUAAAAAGGUCUAAGAAUAUAUUGGUAAUUUCUUUGCUAAACAUCCUAAAACACAAAAAUGCUUGUUGCAAGUGAUAAAUAAUGGAUUAGAACUUUGCUAGAGAACUAGGCAUGUCAUUUAGAAUGUAUGUUUUUAACAAACGUAGGGGAUAUAUUUACUUUAGUAGGGUGUGUGUCUAAGCACCUAAGACUCAUUAAGGCUGUUGCAUUUUACACAGUAUAUUGUUUUAUAUCUACAUGUGUAUUUAGUUUGACUAAAAAAAUCAACCUUUCUGAAUAGUUAAAAAUCAUGGACCCAAUCAAAACUGCUAAUAAGAGCAUUUAUCAUGCCUUAUAAAUAAA